rnacentral:lncRNA from 1 species
CACGCUAGCAAUAACUUGCCUUGCCAAGUCAUUUGUUCCUGCAAGAACCUUAGUCCAGGCCUUCCUCCCUUCCUCGUACCUCGAAUACGAUGCCUCAGUCCUAAAGACCAACAAAAGUGCCAAGGCCGGUGCUGCCAACUGAUAGGGCAAAGAAGAGGCUCUCAAAAUGGGGAAAAACUCCGGUAGCCAAUGCAAUGAUACUGCUGAAUUAUAACUGGCUAUAAUUACAGCCACUGAAGUAAAUGCAAUCACUGGAGGAACCAGCGAUAAAAUCACCCGCGAACUGAGACUCGAUAAAAGAUGCCUUAAAUGCCUUAAGGAGCUUCUGUGCUGCACCCAUUUUUCAUGGUCAUAUAAGGACCUUUUCUGUUUCAUACCCCUUUCUUUCACACUGUCAGCCCAGUUGGGUAUUGCAUGAAGAAUCGACGACAGGGUCAAAGUUUCAUUCGAUGACGAAUCCGAUGGCUGUGAAGAACAAAGAAAUCUGAAAGUGAGUUUCUUGGAACUUUUGGAAGGAAAUGGAUAAUGGUGAAACUUGAGGGGUAUCCUGGGAUUGAAAUCGGAAGAAUAAAAAGAGAAAUUGGCUGGAUUUUGAAUUGGGUUUUUGCGCAUGUUCAUUUUUUGAAUUCUUGAUUAGGGUUUGGAGAUUGAAGGAGAAAUAUUUAGAGGAGAAGGGGACAUGACUCUGGUUCAGACCGUAGAAGCGAAAUUCUUUAUUUUCAUUUUCGGAAUUGGAUAGGUAUUUGGAAACGGUUAAUUUGUGACUGAGGUUUUUACACACGUUUCAAUAUUAUAUGCUGCCUUUUCUUUUAUUUUUUGCUUAUUGGCACAAAAUCUCCAUAACUAAUUAUAUACAUAUCACUAUUUUUAUCAUUUGCACCACAUUUUUAAUUGUACUUAAAUUCUUAAUCUUUAACAUUAUAACACUUAUGUCAUUAACAUUUUCAUGUCAUUUUUAUUCUCAAACUCUUCAUUAGCUAACAUAUUUUAUAUUUGAUAACAACGUGCCUCUCUCAAUCUGUGCAUCAAAAAAAGGCUCACCCUAAUACCUUUAUAUAUGAAUAAUGGAGCUUACCAACAUCUGGCGCUGUGUGUCCUCCAUAUUUAACAACCAAAUGCUUUGAGAUAUGAAGUUGAUGAUGCAUUGGGGACGAUGUUUUGAACUGAGGACUACUUCUAGAUAGACAUACUAACUAAUGAAAGGUUUAAGAUAAGAAUUUAAAGAAAAAAUAAACAAAAUAAUUGCUAUAAUGAGCAAAUAUUGAAGAGAUAAGUUGCAAUAAAAUGUGAUGUAUCAAAUAAAAAUUGUGAUGACAAUAUAUCUACACAUCUCCAUAUUCUUUGGACUUAUUGUGAAAGAUAUACUUGUGUCUUUGACAAAAAUGUAACAAAGAUUGAUAUCUGAACUAAUACUGUGCAUGCCUCAAUUAUAAAAUGACGGGUCCUAAUUUUCAAUAAUAUCGAAAACUAAUGAAGAAAUAGAAUGCAGGCAAAGAGAAAGUGUCCUCUGAUGCACAAACUAAUUUAUUUAUAUUGGCUUCAAACACUCUCUUUACCUGUAGACCAUAUUCAUUUUUUCCAUCAAAGGCCUGGCACGAGCACAAUAUUUAGCCCUUGUUUGGCCCCAAUUAAAAUUAUAAUUCAUUUUUCUCUUUCUUCUUAUCAUCCGUACAUUUUCUAAUAAAAUAAUAUUAUACAUAAUUCCAAAACAUUUUCCUUUUUAGCCACGCAUUCUUCAAAAAACACUUUUCCAACCAUUAGAAUUUCAAUUAAUGGGGGCCAAAUGGGUGCUUAUAAGUGGGGGGCACUGAGCCUUAUACGCAAGAUUUCUCUCCUCCCAAACCAUAUUUAAACCACCUCGUCUAAAAUUGACAAACUUGUAUUUUUGGGAGUUAAAAUUAUACACAACUAACUUGUUACGUGUACAAUUUUUUUUUUAAAAAAAAAAUCAAAAUAUUAUGAAGAAGAUAAGAGAAGUUUGUUUAUAUGACGAAAUUAAAUAUCAUUUUCCUGAUUAUAUGCAAUUGUUGCAUACUCGUAUUCGAAAAUGAGCUUCUUACCAAUUUGUUAUAUGCAUCAAUGCUUCUAAAAUAUCUUCUUUGAAACUGUUUCUGGCCUCAGACUAAGCUCACUUACCUAUAUUAAAAGCAAACUACGAGCUAUAGUAUAAAUCAGAGGUGUUAGUAGAUCUUUUGUAAUGGCAAAACUAAUAAGAUAUUUUUGUUCGUUAGGCAAAGAAGAGGCUCUCAAAAUGGGGAAAAACUCCGGUAGCCAAUGCAAUGAUACUGCUGAAUUAUAACUGGCUAUAAUUACAGCCACUGAAGUAAAUGCAAUCACCGGAGGAACCAGCGAUAAAAUCACCCGCGAACUGAGACUCGAUAAAAGAUGCCUUAAAUGCCUUAAGGAACUUCUGUGCUCCACCCAUUUUUCAUGGUCAUAUAAGGACCUUUUCUGUUUCAUACCCCUUUCUUUCACACUGUCAGCCCAGUUGGGUAUUGCAUGAAGAAUCGACGACAG